UCGCUGACGUAUAUAGUGUCACAUGAUACAGGGGGCUUUCCCUAACACGUCAAGGCGGAAGAUAAUACUUUGGUAGAAGAUUGUUUGUUUUUAUGUUUUAAUAAGGAAUUAAACUGUUUCAUUUAAUUAGAACGAUUGUAGCUUAGAUGUUUAGAUGAACCAGAUUUCUUCAUCCAUUACAUAGAUAUCUCAAAAUAACCAUCAUGAACCGAAGAAGAAUGCUCCAAUCAGACAUGAGUAGAUUGCAGAGAAAUUACUCUUUCUUGCUAGACGAAAUCGAUGCCAUGGUACUGGUCCCAAAACUCCUUGAAUCAAGUGUGAUUACAUGGGACGACAAAGAAGCCAUUCGAUUACAAGCACAUCAACAAGGCACAAAAGCUGGCACCGACAAGUUAAUUGAUAUAUUAUGCAGAUCCGGUAACAAUGCAUAUACGGGCUUCAUGGAAAGUCUGUCAAUCAACGGAUAUCACCAUGUAGUUGGACGAUUGGAACGUGAUGUGAAUAACCAAUCCUCGGAAACAGUUGAUGAUUCAAAACGAGUUGAUGAUUUGUUUGCAAAAUACAAUUCCCAACAACAAACCAUAAAUUCUCUGACACAAUCCAAUAAUCAACUUAAUGGAGAGGUUCAGUCAUUGAAAGAGGAAGUCAGGUGUAUUAAACAUCAACAUGGCGCCCAGAAAACGGAAAAACCUACUAAUAACGAAAAAGAAAAGAGACCAAUUCCUUGGGAAAAAAUGUCGCCAGAACAGCAGACAAGGGAGAGUCUUAAGAUGGCGAUUGAGAGGAUAGCCCAGGCGAUAGCCCAGGUGUUCAAUUAGAAAUAAAAAUAUGGAAGAAGAUGAUGGUGGAUGUUAAUCUUAAUAUCCUGAAUACAGUAUAAUAUAACAAAUAGAUAAACAAUUAUAGUUUGUAUACGCCCACAUUGAAAUAAGAAUAUUGAUUAUAAUACUGGAAGAAAAUUUAACUGUCAAUCUGUAUGAAAUAUAUUUCAAAUCUAUAUAAACAUUUAUAGUUUGUAUUAGCCCAUAUUAAAAUGUGAUUGUAUAUAUUGUUGUCAACAAUGUCCGUCAGUCCGUCCAUCGUCCAGGAAAUUUUUUGGAAGCUCUUAUAUCUGAUUGACGUUUAAUUUAUACACCGUGUUUAAGGUCAUGAGUUAUUGCCCUUGAUCACUUUGACAAAUCUUGUGGACAUUUGUGAGGCUAAAGUUAAUAUCUGAUUGACUUUAAAUUAUACAGUGUUUAAGAUCAUGCGUCAAAUGGGCCACGGUUAUGCCCCUUGAUCACUUUGAAAAAUCCCGUGGAAGCUUGCGAGAUCAAAUCUGAUUGACUUUAAAUUUAUACACAGAGUUAAGUUCUUGAGACGCAGAAGACUAUUGAUAACUUGAAAAGCUAAAUUUAUGAUAUUAAUUAUUUUACAUAUUGAACGUUAGCAUUGGGCAGAACUAGAAACCAAACAAAUUCUAAUAAUUUCUGAUAAUUACUUAAUGGGCUGGUACAAUAAGAUUUUAGUCGGUUGUAUGUAAAUCAUCUCAUUACUGAAAGGAAAAAUAUCCGAUAAUCCUUGUUGACAUGUUCUGACGACUUUGCUACUGUGGGCGUAUGUUUUCGUUUCCUGUCGACCUAUCUUUUUUACUUUCUUUGAUUCAAUGAAAUACGUGUCCAUCUAAAUAAUUUUAGUAAAUGUCUCUCCAUCUGUAAAUGAUAAAUCUAAGUAAUUUUAGUUUAAAAAAACUCUCCAUCUGUAAAUGA